CCUCUUCCUGCAGAGCACUUUCCAGUAAGGAUGCAGUUGGAAAAUCUGCCACCUGCUGGCCAAAGGUAAAAGCCCUCAAAACCAUGCAGAGGCAGAGGUGACAAAUCCUGGUCCACAAAGUGCAAAGCCUGCCACAGUUUGUCUCCAGCCACAACUACUAAUCCGUGCUGCCUAAAGAGCCUGCUGCUGUGUGGAGCACCAUCAAGUACCUGCUAGCAGCGGAAGCUGAGGACCAGAACAAAGCUACAGACCAGCAGCACUUCAGUUUCCUUGUUACUGCCUCAGCAACCUGAAAAGCAGUAAGAAACAAAAUCAACUUCCUGGGUCAUGCAGCAAGGAAUAAAAUCUGCUUUCCUGGUCAUUCAGCUUGCAAAACCCGGUGCCAUGAACUCUACUUGUGCACUGGUAUGUUUCAUGUCAAAACCUUUUCUGCACAAAACGUUGACUUAGCUUUUUACUUACCUAUCUCUUUUUGUCUCGGGUCCAGGCAUGGAGUAACACUCAUCCCUCUGGCCGACCACUCCACCGCUCGUCCCUCUGGCCGACCACUCCACCGCUCGGCAAUGAGCAGAUUGCCAUCCAACUUGUUGUGAUUGUUUUCUCUGCAAAAGAAAUAAAACUUUAUUACAAAUAACA